rnacentral:tRNA from 1 species
GCGCAACGUCUAGCGGCUAGGACCUCAGCCUUCCAAGCUGAUGAUCCGGGUCCGAAGGCCUCGAAAUACUUAAAUAUUUUGUUGCAGGAAUUCCCGGCGACCGCA